AUACUGCUGAAGAGUCUCAAACUAGAUCGAAACAGCUGUCCAGUAU
rnacentral:hammerhead_ribozyme from 1 species